AAGUGCGAUCAUACCAACACUAAAGCAUCAGAUUCCAUUAGAACUCCAUAGUUAAGCAUGCUUAGGCAUGAGUUGUACUAAGAUGGGUGAUCCCCUAGGAGGUCCUCGUGUUUUACUCU
rnacentral:rRNA from 1 species